rnacentral:lncRNA from 10 species
AGGAGCCUGUCUGCCUCCUGCUGCCAUCAACCUACCCUCCAUGGUGCCCAUAUUUCCCAGGCUGUUCCCGCUGAGGGGUGCCUGCAGGCCCAUGCUGAGCUGCCCUCAGCCCCCACCUCAGCUCCCUCUCAUGCUCAUUGGUGUCCCAAAUCCUAGAACGGGCCAAGGCGGCAGGGGGACUGGUGUGUCAGCGCUGGCUCGAGUGCGUGCACACCCAGUAGGAUCGUGACAGCACUCGGGCUCAGCCUCAACUUUGCUCCAAAAUCGGAGUGGGCACCGGGAGCCGGGAGAGGCCAGGCAGUAGGAGCAGGCACUUCAGAGCCUGCAGGGGAAGGGGGCUUCCCGGGCCCCCUAGCGCAGGCAUGUCCAGGUCUGUAGCUGAGACUAGUUGGCUGCAGCUGGGAGGGCUGGCCUCCCGACCCUCCAAUUCAGAAAAGGGCGGGGAUCCCUCCUGUUCCUGGCUCCAGGUGGCUCUGUGGAGCCCCUGCGCGCCUCCCCCACUGCAACCUGCGUCAUGGCAGCAGCUGCUCUAGAUAGGCCACAGCUGCCAUCAAAAGCAUAGCGCUUUCUCUGGCUGGUAGCGAAGGAAAAAGAGAUUAAAAGCACGAGAAAGACUCAACCCACUGACCCACCGUUGCUGGCUUGAUGGUAAAGAGGACAAUGUGGGGAAAGCAUUCGAAGAAAAUCACUUCUGCCAACAAUCAGUGAGUUUGGAGGUGGACCCCGAGACUUAGCUGACAGCCCCAGCAGAUAUAAUACGCUGAUUCAAGUUUAAUGAGACCCUGAGAAGAGAAUCCAGUCAAGGUGCUUUAGACUUCAGACUUUCAGAAGUUCAGACCUUCAGAACUGUGAGAUUAUAAACAGGUGCUGCAAAGGGAAAUUAUGUCUAGCAUAAGACACAAUCUCUGACAUUGAAGAACUUACAAUUGAAUUGAGGAAAUAACAUAUCUCCGGACAACUUAACAAGAAGAAGAGCUUUGAAUAAGUAAGGAUAGGUUCCUUUGCAUCCAGUGGAAAGGCAGCUGCUUCCAUCUCCAUGUCAACUUCAUUCUUUCUUACUGCAGAUCAUCUGUCAAUUCAUAGUUCAUAUCAGGACCACCAUCAACUCUUACAUGCCAUAUGCAACACAGAGGAGACAUUCCUAUUUUUCUACAUCCUUUCUAAAAAGCACUGGUCAUUGCUCUCUUGUUGAACCGUCCUUUAAC